rnacentral:snRNA from 1 species
AUACUUACCUGGACGGGGUCAAUAGAUGAUCAUGAAUAUCUAUGGCUUGGGGUAGUGACUUUCAUUGCACCUGGAAAUGGUGCUUCUCCAAGGUCAUAAUUUGUGGUAGUGGGACUUGUGUUCGCGCAACCCCUUC